rnacentral:rRNA from 1 species
GAACGUUAUUAGUAGGAAAUGGCUAAUAAGUGACGGUACCUUACCAGAAGGGACGGCUAACUACGUGCCAGCAGCCGCGGUAAUACGUAGGUCCCGAGCGUUAUCCGGAAUUAUUGGGCGUAAAGGGCACGUAGGCGGACAAAUAAGUUUGAUGUCAAAUAUGAUGGCUCAACCAUCAAGAGGCGUUGAAAACUGUUUAUCUAGAAUCUCGGAGAGGUAAGUGGAAUUCCAUGUGUAGCGGUGGAAUGCGUAGAUAUAUGGAGGAACACCAAUGGCGAAGGCAGCUUACUGGACGAAGAUUGACGCUGAGGUGCGAAAGCGUGGGUAGCAAACAGGAUUAGAUACCCUGGUAG